rnacentral:tRNA from 1 species
GCGUCGGUGGUCUAGUGGUCAUGAUUCUGGCCUUCCAAGCCGGCUGCCCGGGUUCGAAUCCCGGCCGACGCA